UGGCAUUGAAGAUUCACCUGCCUCUGCCUAUUGAACACCGGGAGUAAAGUCGUGUGCCACCACUGACUGGCUUGCAUAUAUAUCUUUGUGCUACCUACAUGUCUGGUCCCUAGAGAGGCCACAAGACCUUGGAUCCCCUGAGACUGCAAUCAGGAAUGAUUGUGAACUAUCAUGUGGGUCUAGGAAUUGAACUGGGGUGCUCUGCGUAAGCAGCAAGCGCUCUUAACUGCUGAGCCAUCUCCCCAGCGCAGAAGCGUUCAUCUUAACUAACAUCUUGUAUUGUCUCCCAAAAAAAAAAAAAAAAAAGUUGAUGUUGUUGUUGAGAAUAUUUUUAUUCUGUACUAGAGCUUCUAGGCACAUCAACUUUAUUUGAACCUUGUGUUUCUCCUUAAAAUCUUACACAGUACUAUAUCAUGGCUGACCAUGACUGAAGAAGAUAAGACUGUAGGUAGGAGCCAGCUUGAAGGGAAUUGCAUCUUUACACUAAUACGAAAUUUAUUUUAAGCGAUUUUAAAGAUGAUUUUAUGUGUAUAAGUGUUGCUUGUAUGUCUGUGCACCAUGUAUGAAUCUGUUGUCCACAGAGACCAGAAGAGAGUGUUGGAUCCCUAAAACUGGAGUUAGAGGUGUUGUUAGCCACUGUGUGGGCACUGAGAACCAAACGCUGGUCCUCUGGAAAAGCAGUCAGUGCUUCUAAGUGCUGAGCCAGCCUGGUUCUCCAGGCUGGCUCUUAGUGGGUCUCUGAUGGUUUUCUCAUGAUAAAACUAGGUUUGUGUGUAUGGGGUUGGAGACUGCAGAGGUCAAAUGUCAUUCUUACUACAUAUCAACGUGACUUGUCGCAGAUCAUCUGUCUGAAUUGGUGUUUGUCAGGCUUCUCCAGUGAAGCGCUUCUUUUCACACAGUGCUCUUUGGGAUGAAGUCAUUUAGUGCAGCCAGCCCACACACAAGGAGUGGUGAGUUAGAUUCACUUCCUAGGGUGUGGUAUUAGUCGUCUGAAAGAGAUUUGUCUCUUCUCCCUCAGUUACUUGUUUGAUCAUGCAGUGCCUGUACAGAGUCAUAGCUACUGUGUACUUGAGAUUACAGUCCAUUAAUACUUGGUCUUGGUGACCAAGUUGUUUUCAGCUGUACUGUGCAGAGCACUUUCCUUUCACAAACUCCCAUCCUGGGGGUUUGCUUGCUUUUGAGGGCUUCCUCACUUUCUGGCACUACAAGAUACCUGAUCUUGUGUAUUUUCAGAUUGGUCCUAGGAUCCAGGGUUCCCAUUUCUCCAAGGAGCCCCAUUUUUGUUUGUUGGAUUGCCUCUUAGAAUAGAUAGCAUUGUUAAUAAGUUUUUUUUUUUUCUGAUGCCCUCCCCCCAACCCUUGUUGCAGCAGGUAGCCAGAUAGUUUCUUCUUUGCAAUUUUAGAGCAAGACCAGUGUUCUGUGAACAGGAAUGGGCUGGGAUACAAAGAAAGUUGUGGUGAGGGGGCCAGGCAGAGAGCCAUGACUUGGGCACAUUUGGGUUCCUUUAGGUACUGUGUGAGGUCAGACCAGCAUCUACAGGCAGCCAGGUCACUGUGCAUCCAUGUGAACUGUGUCUUUAGCAGGCCAUGGUUGAAAAUGGCAGGUACCUUUCAGAUAAACUGUUUAUGUUUAGUUCCAGGAACAUUGUCCCUGAGAUAAAUUUGUGGGUUUUCAUCAGUAAACACAUCAUAUGUAAUUUUCAGCUGGCUUCUCUUCUAGUCUUUGACUCUCAGUUUCAAGCAGACUUAAGGUCAAAUGUAUCAUAAAAGAUUUCAGGCUCUUGAAACUCAUGGUGUUCUUCCUCCAGGUGAGCUCUGUUCUGGUUUAUUCCUAAGUGCUUUAUUGCCCUGAGCUACUUACAGCUCCCUCAUUAGGCAGGGUGUUAUCUUGAAUGUUUGGUAAUGGAAUUGGUCAGCAGGCAGGUUUCUGGACCAGCUCAGGAACCUCCUCCUAGCCACUGCUUAAGACUAAUCCAAGAAAAUAGAAUUUUAGAUGAGUUUAUUCCCCAAUGACCCAUUUUCUCACUUAGUUGACAGGUUCAGUGUGAGUAUUCACAUAGUCUUGACAUGGACUACUCUGCAGAUACAAUUAACACCUUUUUCUCUCUUAAGGUUGUGAAUUUUGGUUUGCUUUUCAUUAGAAACUGUUAUCUAGAAACAUAAUUUUAUUACUUCCUGUUCUAUGAUGUCAUUUAUGGAGCAGUUUUAGAGCUUAAUAGUGCCUUUGUUUAAUCAGAGAAUUGAAUGGUUAUUACUGUAAGUAUUUCGUUGUUUAGUCAGGCAUGGUAGUUCAUGCCUCUGAAGGCUGUAAUCCCAGCACUGGGGAGGCAGGCUUCAGGAGUAGGAUGUACUAGUGUGGUCACCCAGGUUUGAUGCCAGUUGGAGUUCCAGCCCAGCCAGUUGGAGGUAUGAAUUGUGGAGUUCUUCGGAGGAGGGCUGAGUCCUUAAUUUAUGUCACAAGUCACCCUCUGCAGCUUUGCCGCCAUGCUUUAGUAAGAUUUUUAUGACCUCCAUUUAAGUCCUUUUAUAAUCUGGAAAGGCUCCUUUCAUUAAAUU
rnacentral:lncRNA from 1 species